rnacentral:tRNA from 1 species
AGUUAAAUGGCUGAAAGUAAGUAACGGUCUCUUAAACCGCUUUAUAAUAUGUUAACAUAUAUUUUUAACUA